rnacentral:rRNA from 1 species
GAUGGACGCUGGCGGCGUGCCUAAUACAUGCAAGUCGAACGAGGUCUUCGGACCGAGUGGCGAACGGGUGAGUAACACGUUGGUACCUACCCCGAAGUGGGGAAUAACUGGCCGAAAGGUCGGCUAAUACCGCAUAAUACCGCAAGGUUAAAGCAGUAAUGCGCUUCGGGAGGGGCCUGCGUCCCAUUAGCUAGUUGGUGAGGUAAUUGCUCACCAAGGCAACGAUGGGUAGCUGGANCGAGAGGUUGACCAGCCACACUGGGACUGAGAUACGGCCCAGACUCCUACGGGAGGCAGCAGUAAGGAAUCUUCCACAAUGGACGAAAGUCUGAUGGAGCAACGCCGCGUGCAGGAUGACGGCC